rnacentral:rRNA from 1 species
UACGUAGGUGGCAAGCGUUGUCCGGAUUUACUGGGUGUAAAGGGCGUGUAGCCGGGCUGACAAGUCAGAUGUGAAAUCCGGGGGCUCAACCCCCGAACUGCAUUUGAAACUGAUGGUCUUGAGUAUCGGAGAGGCAGGCGGAAUUCCUAGUGUAGCGGUGAAAUGCGUAGAUAUUAGGAGGAACACCAGUGGCGAAGGCGGCCUGCUGGACGACAACUGACGGUGAGGUGCGAAAGCGUGGGGAGCAAACAGG